rnacentral:rRNA from 1 species
UACGGAGGGGACUAGCGUUGUUCGGAGUUACUGGGCGUAAAGCGCACGCAGGCGGUCUCUUAAGUUUGGAGUGACAGUUGGUGGCUUAACUGCCAAAGUGCUUCGAAAACUGAGAGACUUGAGGGCUUCAGAGGGACACGGAAUUCCGGGUGGAGUGGUGAAAUGCGUAGAGAUCCGGAGGAACACCAAAGGCGAAGGCAGUGUCCUGGGGAGUACCUGACGCUCAGGUGCGAAAGCCAGGGGAGCGAACGGG